rnacentral:sRNA from 1 species
GGAUGUGAAGGUGCUCUUGCUGUGACAUCUGUCACCCCGUUGAUGGACUGGGUUGAUUUGGUUAAUCUGGCUUGCUAUGAGAAUGUCCCCGUCCUCCCUCCACUUUAUGUGUGUCCCUCCUGAAGCUACAUGCUUGAUGGAAGAAGAGACCAUCCCUUAUAUAAGAAGUGCACCAUUCUUCAGUCAAGCAUAUAUAUCACUACUUUGAUUCUUUAAAACAAGAGUAGUUGCACACCAGAAAAUUAUGGUGCUACAGGUCUUU